GGAAAGGAUAUUUAGUUUUUCGCAUUGAUGAAGAUCGUAGCAAAAUGCGAUACCUGGUGUGAAUUGCAGAAUCCCGCGGAACCAUGAGUUUUUGAACGCAAGUUGCGCCCGAGGCCUUCUGGCCGAGGGCACGCCUGCCUGGGCGUCACG
rnacentral:rRNA from 1 species